AACGCAUAUUGCACUCUCUGGUAUUCCGGAGAGUAUGCCUGUUUGAGGGUCUGUUAAAUAAAAAUCGGGGUUGUUGCUGCUUUUUGUGGUGACGCUUCGGAAUUGGGUAGUCUUACCUUCGGGUUUAAGUGACCUAAAAUUUUACCUGAUUUUUCGAACGUAUUUAAAUCUUUUACGUACGUUUGGUUAUAUCGAAUAUAUUAGGUGUGGUCAUCCUCAUGAUUCACGUCUAUAAUUUUUUUCAUUUUUAGACCUCAAAUCAGGUAAGAACACCCGCUGAACUUAA
rnacentral:misc_RNA from 1 species